GAACUGCGAUAAGUAAUGUGAAUUGCAGAAUUCAGUGAAUCAUCGAGUCUUUGAACGCACAUUGCGCCCCCUGGCAUUCCGGGGGGCAUGCCUGUCCGAGCGUCAUUGCUGCCCUUCAAGCCCGGCUUGUGUGUUGGGUCGUCGUCCCUCCGGGGGACGGGCCCGAAAGGCAGCGGCGGCACCGCGUCCGGUCCUCGAGCGUAUGGGGCUUUGUCACCCGCUCGAUAAGGACCGGCCGGGCGCCAGCCGGCGUCUCCAACCUUUUUUUCUCAGGUUGACCUCGGAUCAGGUAGGGAUACCCGCUGAACUUAAGC
rnacentral:misc_RNA from 1 species